GCAGAUUUGUGAACACGCAUGUGCACAGCAGCGUUAUUCGUGACAGCCGAAGGGGGAAGCCACCCUCUCCCCAUCACAGAUGGGUAGAGAAAGAAAAUGCGGUCCAUCCACUCAAUGGAACAUUACUUGCCUUACAAAGGAAGGAAAUUCUGACACGUGUUACAGCAUGGGUGGACCUUGAAGCCAGUCACAAAAGGACAAACAUUCCAUGAUGUCACUCAUGUACAAUGAUGGCACUGUCCCUUGCCAAAGACUGUUCCAGCCACUAGAAACCAGGAACCCAACCAGAUGCACUAAAGCCCCUGCCCCGGGGGAGCCUGCAGUCCAACAGCAACCACCAAAGGAGCAAGUUAAGGGUGGCAAGGACUGAGCAGGAGCAUGGGGCACUCAGAGGAUGGAUGCAUGAAGAGGGGUCCAAGGAGAAGCCUGAGAAGGAGCAGCCAAGGAGCUGAAGCACAAGAGAAAGAGGAUAGUCCAGCUGUCAAGGAUGAGAACUGACCACUAGACCCGGCCACACUGAGAGCCCUGACCAUGACAAGUAAGGAUUAGGUGAAGAAAUGGGACAGGGGCUGGGUGUUCUAAUUCUUGGACUUUUUUUUCUUUUUGGUACCAGGCAUUGAACUCAGGACCUUGUGCUUUCGAGGCAGGCAGUGGCACCACUGAGCUAAAUCCCCAGUCCUGGGUGUUCUAAUUCUGUCCCCCUUGUGUCCUUGGGAACAAGGACUCUUGGCAUGGAAGAGAUGUGGUUGCUAUCACUUAAAUGUCCCUUGAAGGUUCACACAUUCACUCCCUCAUUCCCAGGGAGGUCAUGUGGGGAGGUGAUGUGGACCUCUAAGAGGUGGUUCUUAUGUCAGUUGAGGACAGGCCCUCUGAAGGGAUUAUGGUAUUUCUCAUGGGACCCUGGUUAGGUCUCAUGAGAGGACUAUUAUAGUCAAGCUAGGUGUGGUGGUGCACACCUGUAAUCCCAGCACUCUGGGAGGCUAAGGCAGAAUGAUAGCAAGUUCAUGUCCAGCCUGAACAACUCAGUGAAGUAGUCGGGGAUGUAGCUCAAUGAGAAGGUCCUAGGUUCAAUACCCAGUCUCCCUCCCUCUCUCCCCCCCCACACACACAUACACUGUGAUCAAUUGCUUCAGCACACACUCUUGCCAUUGCAAUCC
rnacentral:lncRNA from 1 species